rnacentral:rRNA from 1 species
GGUCUCCGGUAGUGACCUGCGGAGGGAUCAUUACAAGAACGCCCGGGCUUCGGCCUGGUUAUUCAUAACCCUUUGUUGUCCGACUCUGUUGCCUCCGGGGCGACCCUGCCUUCGGGCGGGGGCUCCGGGUGGACACUUCAAACUCUUGCGUAACUUUGCAGUCUGAGUAAACUUAAUUAAUAAAUUAAAACUUUUAACAACGGAUCUCUUGGUUCUGGCAUCGAUGAAGAACGCAGCGAAAUGCGAUAAGUAAUGUGAAUUGCAGAAUUCAGUGAAUCAUCGAAUCUUUGAACGCACAUUGCGCCCCCUGGUAUUCCGGGGGGCAUGCCUGUUCGAGCGUCAUUUCACCACUCAAGCCUCGCUUGGUAUUGGGCAACGCGGUCCGCCGCGUGCCUCAAAUCGUCCGGCUGGGUCUUCUGUCCCCUAAGCGUUGUGGAAACUAUUCGCUAAAGGGUGUUCGGGAGGCUACGCCGUAAAACAACCCCAUUUCUAAGGUUGACCUCGGAUCAGGUAGGGAUACCCGCUGAACUUAAGCAUAUCAAAAAGCGG